rnacentral:rRNA from 1 species
GGCUUAUUGAUUUUAAUAGUAGGUCUAUUCUGCCCAUUGAUUAAUUAAUUAAAAGGCUGCAGUAUAUUGACUGUACAAAGGUAGCAUAAUCAAUUGUUUUUUAAUUGGAAACUGGAAUGAAAGAGUGGAUGAAAUAUAAGUUGUCUCAAAAUAAUAAUAUUGAAUUUAAAUAAAGAGUAAAAAUGCUUUUAUGAAUUUAUUAGACGAGAAGACCCUAUAGAAUUUAAUAAAAUUUAUUUAUUAAUGAUUUUUUAUUUUAUAUAGUUAAUAAAUAUUUAUAUUUUAUUGGGAGGAUAUUUAAAUUAAUUAAACUUUAAGGAUUAAAUAACAUAGAUUAAUGAAUUAAUGAUUAUUAUUAUAAUUAAUAGAAUAAAUUACCUUAGGGAUAACAGCGUAAUAAUUUUGGAGAGUUCAUAUUGAUAGAAUUGUUUGCGACCUCGAUGUUGAAUUAUGAUAAAAAUUAAAUGGAGAAAUUUAAAAUUUUAGUCUGUUCGACUAUUAAAAUCAUACA